UACGAAGGGGGGCUAGCGUUGCUCGGAAUCACGUGGGCGUAAAGCGCACGUAGGCGGAUUGUUAAGUCAGGGGUGAAAUCCUGGAGCUCAACUCCAGAACUGCCUCUGAUACUGGCAAUCUCGAGUCCGGAAGAGGUGAGUGGAACUCCUAGUGUAGAGGUGGAAUUCGUAGAUAUUAGGAAGAACACCAGUGGCGAAGGCGGCUCACUGGUCCGGUACUGAACGCUGGAGGUGCGAAAGCGUGGGGAGCAAACAGG
rnacentral:rRNA from 1 species